UAGCGAAAUUCCUUGUCAGGUAAGUUCUGACCCGCACGAAAGGCGUAACGAUUUGAGCGCUGUCUCGACAACACACCCGGUGAAAUUGUAGUACUCGUGAAGAUGCGAGUUACCCGCGACAGGACGGAAAGACCCCGUAGAGCUUUACUGUAGUCUGGCAUUGAGUUUUGAUAUAACAUGUACAGGAUAGGUGGGAGGCAGAGAAGCAUGCACGCCAGUGUGUGCCGAGCCAUUGUUGGGAUACCACUCUUGUUAUAUUGGAAUUCUAACGCGUUGCCGUAAUCCGGCAAGCGGACAGUGUCAGAUGGGCAGUUUGACUGGGGCGGUCGCCUCCUAAAAAGUAUCGGAGGCGCCCAAAGUUACCCUCAGGAUGGUUGGAAACCAUCUGUAAGAGUGCAAAGGCAGAAGGGUGAUUGACUGCGAGAGAGACAUCUCGAGCAGAGACGAAAGUCGGGCUUAGUGAUCCGGUGGUUCCGAGUGGAAGGGCCAUCGCUCAACGGAUAAAAGCUACCUCGGGGAUAACAGGCUUAUCUCCCCCAAGAGUCCACAUCGACGGGGAGGUUUGGCACCUCGAUGUCGGCUCGUCUCAUCCUGGGGCUGAAGCAGGUCCCAAGGGUUGGGCUGUUCGCCCAUUAAAGAGGCACGCGAGCUGGGUUCAGAACGUCGUGAGACAGUUCGGUCCCUAUCCGUCGUGGGCGUAAGAUAUUUGAAAGGAGCUGUUCCUAGUACGAGAGGACCGGAAUGGACAAACCGCUGGUGCACCAGUUGUUCCGCCAGGAGCAUCGCUGGGUAGCUAAGUUUGGAAGGGAUAAGUGCUGAAGGCAUCUAAGCACGAAGCCCCCCUUAAGAUAAGAUAUCUCAUUCGAAAGAAGUAAGGCCUCUGGAAGACGACCAGGUAGAUAGGCUGGAGGUGGAAGUGCAGCAAUGUAUGGAGCUGACCAGUACUAAUCGGCCGAGGUCUUGAUCC
rnacentral:rRNA from 1 species